rnacentral:rRNA from 1 species
AGCGAACGUUAGCGGCGGGCUUAACACAUGCAAGUCGAGCGAGAAAAGGGGGCAACCCCUGAGUAAAGCGGCGGACGGGUGAGUAACACGUAGGUAAUCUUCCCUUGAGCGGGGGACAACGAUUCGAAAGGAUCGCUAAUACCGCAUAAGUUUCUUGGGACUCUGGUCCUGAGAAGGAAAGCUAGGCCGCAAGGUCCCGGCACUCGAGGAGGAGCCUGCGUAGCAUCAGCUAGUUGGUGGGGUAACGCCACCAAGGCGAAGACGCUUAGCUGGUCUGAGAGGAUGAUCAGCCACACUGAAACUGAGACACGGUUCAGACUCCUACGGGAGGCAGCAGUGGGGAAUAUUGGACAAGGGGGGUGCGCAAGCCUGAUCCAGCCACGCCGCGUGAGUGAUGAAGG